AUCGUUAUUUUUUGCUUUGUUUAUCAAAGCCCACAGUACAUUCAGUCGAGAUGACAAAAGGUACAUCUAGCUUCGGAAAACGUGGUCGCACCAAGUCCCAUGGACUUUGCGGGCGUUGUGGACGCCGCGCCUUCCAUCAUCAAAAAGCCAGAUGCGCCAGCUGCGGGUUCGGAAAAACAGCUAAACUUCGCCACUACAACUGGGCUUUGAAAUCCAGGCGCCGUCACACAACAGGAACAGGCCGAACACCUCAUCUUAGAUACAUCAUUUCUAGGGCUAAAGUUUUCAAGAGAGUUAACGAAAAAUAUGCUCAAAGCGUUCGAGCUGCAAGGAUCCGCGCCCUCAAGAAGCCCAUCUGGUAGUUUGUUCUGUUUCGAUUUGGAUGUACAUUCAAACUAUUACGGAUUCAUCGGCAAUAAGAAAAAAUCAAUUACAAGUCAAAUAAAUUACGUUUUCCUCCUGAUCACCCUCUUGA